rnacentral:rRNA from 1 species
GGUUUGAUCAUGGCUCAGAUUGAACGCUGGCGGGAUGCUUUACACAUGCAAGUCGAACGGCAGCACGGACUUCGGUCUGGUGGCGAGUGGCGAACGGGUGAGUAAUGCAGGAACGUGUCAGUAGUAGCGGGGGAUAACUACGUGAAAGCGUAGCUAAUACCGCAUACGGCCCUUCGGGGGAAAAGGGGGACCUUUCGGGCCUCGCACUAUUAGAGCGGCUGAUAUCGGAUUAGCUAGUUGUGGGUGUCGCUCACUGGGCAUACGAUCCGUAGCUGGUUUGAGAGGACGACCAGCCACACUGGGACUGGAGACAUCGGCCCAGACUCCUACGGAGGCAGCAGUGGGGAAUUUGACAAUGGGGGAAACCCCGAUCCAGCCAUCCCGCGUGUGCGAUGAAGGCCUUCGGGCUGUAAAAGCAUUUUUGGCAGGAAAGAAACGGCACGGGAUAAUACCCCGUGCAACUGACGGUACCUGCAGAAUAAGCACCGGCUAACUACGUGCCAGCAAAGCGCGGUAAUACGCAGGGUGCAAGCGUUAAUCGGAAUUACUGGGCGUAAAGCGUGCGCAGGCGGUUCGAAAGAAAAAGAUGGAAAUCAGAGCGACCUUUGGAACUGUAUUUUUAACUAACGAGCUAGAGUGUCAGAGGGAGGUGGAAUUCGCGUGUAGCAGUGAAAUGCGUAGAUAUGCGGAGGAACACCGAUGGCGAAGGCAGGCCUCCUGGGAUAACACUGACGCUCAUGCACGAAAGCGUGGGGAGCAAACAGGAUUAGAUACCCUGGUAGUCCACGCCCUAAACGAGGUCAACUAGCUGUUGGGGCCUUCGGGCCUUGGUAGCGCAGCUAACGCGGAAGUUGACCGCCUGGGGAGUACGGUCGCAAGAUUGGAAACUCAAAGAAUUGACGGGGACUCGCACAAGUGGUGGAUGAUGUGGAUUGACCGAGCGCUACCCGAAAACCUUACCUACCCUUGACAUGUCUGGAAUCCCGAAGAGAUUUGGGAGUGCUCGCAAGAGAACCGGAACACAGGUGCUGCAUGGCUGUCGUCAGCUCGUGUCGUGAGAUGUUGGGUUAAGUCCCGCAAUGAGCGCAACCUUGUCAUUAGUUGCUACGAAAGGGCACUCUAAUGAGACUGCCGGUGACAAACCGGAGGAAGGUGGGGAUGACGUCAGUCCUCAUGGCCCUUAUGGGUAGGGCUUCACACGUCAUACAAUGGUCGGACAGAGGUGCCACAACCUUCAGCAGGGAGCCAACCGCAGAAACCGAUCGUAGUCCGGAUCGCAGUCUGCAACUCGACUGCGUGGUGCUCGAAUCGCUAUAACGUGAUCAGCAUGUCGCGGUGACAUGCCCCCGGCCUUGCAUACACCGCCCGUCACACCAUGGGAGUGGGAGUUUUACCGCUAGUUAGCCUAACCGUAAGGAGGGCGAUUACCACGGUAGGGAUUCAUGACUGGGGUGAAGUCGUAACAAGGUAG